GUCCCGGUAGCUCAGCUGGAUAGAGCGACUGCCUCCUAAGCAGUAGGUCAGAGGUUCGAAUCCUCUCCGGGACGCCA
rnacentral:tRNA from 1 species